UCAGUUCAGACUGCAGGCUGCAACUCGCCUGCACGAAGUCGGAAUUGCUGGUAAUCGUAGGUCAGCAUACUACGGUGAAUACGUUCCCGGGCCUUGUACACACCGCCCGUCAAACCAUGAGAGUUGGCAACACCCGAAGUCGGUAGUCUAACCGCAAGGAGGACGCCGCCGAAGGUGGGGUUGAUGAUUAGGGUUAAGUCGUAACAAGGUAUC
rnacentral:rRNA from 1 species